CCUACGGGCGGCUGCAGUGGGGAAUUUUGGACAAUGGGGGCAACCCUGAUCCAGCCAUGCCGCGUGAGUGAAGAAGGCCUUCGGGUUGUAAAGCUCUUUCAGGUGGAAAGAAAUCGCAUCUUUUAAUACAGGGUGUGGAUGACGGUACCAUCAGAAGAAGCACCGGCUAACUACGUGCCAGCAGCCGCGGUAAUACGUAGGGUGCGAGCGUUAAUCGGAAUUACUGGGCGUAAAGCGUGCGCAGGCGGUUAUGUAAGACAGAUGUGAAAUCCCCGGGCUCAACCUGGGAACUGCGUUUGUGACUGCAUAACUAGAGUACGGCAGAGGGAGGUGGAAUUCCGCGUGUAGCAGUGAAAUGCGUAGAGAUGCGGAGGAACACCGAUGGCGAAGGCAGCCUCCUGGGCCAGUACUGACGCUCAUGCACGAAAGCGUGGGGAGCAAACAGGAUUAGAUACCCUGGUAGUC
rnacentral:rRNA from 1 species